AUGGCCGUGGCUGGAUCCGACCAGUCUGCUGGCUGGAUGAUGCUGGACCGUUUCGUCUACCGCAAGGACGAGGACCACGGCGGCGGCGUCUGGCGCUUCCCGGACGAAUCUACGGCGUCCCUGAGGGCCACCUCGUCCACCUCCCUCGGCAGGCCUUUCGACGUCGCCAUCCUCCGUGCCCAGCCGCCCGCCGUCUCCCGCCUGUACGUGCGGUGGCCCGGCGGCACCAAAGGAAAAUACGGCUCCAGCACCGGCACCGCGCACCGUGACCUCAUCCUCUUCCAGCUCGUCUCCAUGGAAGGUCAUAUUACGCAUGACCACUUCGUCUGCAUAGCAUCCUCGGAUCCUGCAGCUGGGCCGCACAUCGAGCUCAAACGCCUCCCCAUCUGCACCAUACCCAUGGUCUUACCUUCGUGUUGUGAGGAACAAGACACGGAGGAAACUCCGUCUUGUGAGGAAGACACGGAGGAUGCCACUAUGCGGCGAGUGUUUUUCCCCAACACUGUAGCGCUCAUUCGCGGCCGUGAACAAGAGUUUGCCGUGGCACAGCUGGCUAUGGUCACCAAGAUACGAGGCGCCCACCGGAUGGAAGCUGAAGUGUGCGUGCUCCGCUCACGUGUGUCGGAUCCUGACGACCAUGGCAUGUGGGAGGUUCAAAAGAUACCUAUUCAGCAUCAGACUCAUGAAUACUUGGCCCUGGAUAAUUGGUUGACGGAUGCUGUCGUCACAUUCAACAACUAUAUCUGCUGGAUUUCCUACUACGCAGGAGGUAUUCUAUUCUACGAUAUAUUUGCAGAAACACCUAACAUUUUUUAUCUUCGGUUACCUACCAGAAACCGUCCUACAACGUCUCAAGAAAGAGGUUUCCUUGAGGUCAACCGUAGCCUUUGUGUCACUGGUGAUCUUCUCAAGUACACGUAUAUUCUUCGCAAUGAUGCAAGACUCUAUGGCCCACUUAAACCUCGUACGGGUUUUACCAUCCUCACUGAUACUUUGAGCAUAACGGAGACUGGUGACAUAAAUUGCUUCAACGAAAGGGUCAGGAUAGCUAAUGAAUUGUGGCAUUACAACACCUCUGAAUGUCUCCCGCGCCAAGCCCUGAUGUACCCUCUUGUGAGCAUGGACAGCUCUAAUAUUGUCCACUAUUUGAUCUCUGAGGAAGGAGAUAAGAUUGACAAGGUUUCCAUGGUUACGUUGGAUAUGAUUACUCAGAAAGUCACUUCAAUUGUUCCAUAUAUUAAAGGAGAGGAAGACCUCUUGGCCAAGAUGCUGACAUGGUUAAAGAAAAGUCACACCUUCUCACGUCCUUCCUUCCAUCCGAGUUCCCCAAGUUCUUGA
rnacentral:rRNA from 1 species